rnacentral:rRNA from 1 species
ACUCGAGUGGCGAACGGGUGAGUAACACGUGGGUGAUCUGCCCUGCACUUCGGGAUAAGCUUGGGAAACUGGGUCUAAUACCGGAUAGGAGCCAUUCUUUAGUGUGUGGUUGGAAAGUUUUUCGGUGUAGGAUGAGCUCGCGGCCUAUCAGCUUGUUGGUGGGGUAAUGGCCUACCAAGGCGGCGACGGGUAGCCGGCCUGAGAGGGUGUACGGCCACAUUGGGACUGAGAUACGGCCCAG